UACAGAGGGGGCAAGCGUUAUUCGGAAUUAUUGGGCGUAAAGGGCGCGUAGGCGGCCAUUCAAGUGACGGGUGAAAGCCCUCGGCUUAACCGAGGAACUGCCUGUCAGACUGGAUGGCUUGAGACCGGGAGAGGUGAGUGGAAUUCCCAGUGUAGCGGUGGAAUGCGUAGAGAUCGGGAAGAACAUCAGUGGCGAAGGCGGCCUGCUGGGCUGUUGCUGACGCUGAGGCGCGACAGCGUGGGGAGCAAACAGG
rnacentral:rRNA from 1 species